rnacentral:tRNA from 1 species
AAGGAUUUAAGUUAAAAAAACUAGUAACCUUCAAAGUUAAAAAUAGAUAAAUUAUCUAAGCCUUA